rnacentral:rRNA from 1 species
GAUGAACGCUGGCGGCGUGCCUAAUACAUGCAAGUCGAGCGAACGGACGAGAAGCUUGCUUCUCUGAUGUUAGCGGCGGACGGGUGAGUAACACGUGGAUAACCUACCUAUAAGACUGGGAUAACUUCGGGAAACCGGAGCUAAUACCGGAUAAUAUUUUGAACCGCAUGGUUCAAAAGUGAAAGACGGUCUUGCUGUCACUUAUAGAUGGAUCCGCGCUGCAUUAGCUAGUUGGUAAGGUAACGGCUUACCAAGGCGACGAUGCAUCGCCGACCUGAGAGGGGGAUCGGCCACACUGGAACGGAGACACGGUCCAGACUCCUACGGGAGGCAGCAGUAGGGAAUCUGCCGCAAUGGGCGAAAGCAUGACGGAGCAACGCCGCGUGAGUGAUGAAGGUCUUCGGAUCGUAAAACUCUGUUAUUAGGGAAGAACAUAUGUGUAAGUAACUGUGCACAUCUUGACGGUACCUAAACAGAAAGCCACGGCUAACUACGUG